GGUGAGUAACACGUGGGCAANCUGCCCUGCAGACUGGGAUAACUUCGGGAAACCGGANCUAAUACCGGAUAACACCGAAAACCGCAUGGUUUUCGGUUGAAAGGCGGCUUUUAGCUGUCACUGCAGGAUGGGCCCGCGGCGCAUUAGCUAGUUGGUGAGGUAACGGCUCACCAAGGCAACGAUGCGUAGCCGACCUGAGAGGGUGAUCGGCCACACUGGGACUGAGACACGGCCCAGACUCCUACGGGAGGCAGCAGUAGGGAAUCUUCCGCAAUGGACGAAAGUCUGACGGAGCAACGCCGCGUGAGCGAAGAAGGUCUUCGGAUCGUAAAGCUCUGUUGUCAGGGAAGAACAAGUACCGUUCGAACAGGACGGUACCUUGACGGUACCUGACGAGGAAGCCACGGCUAACUACGUGCCAGCAGCCGCGGUAAUACGUAGGUGGCAAGCGUUGUCCGGAAUUAUUGGGCGUAAAGCGCGCGCAGGCGGUUCCUUAAGUCUGAUGUGAAAUCUCGCGGCUCAACCGCGAGCGGCCAUUGGAAACUGGGGAACUUGAGUGCAGGAGAGGGGAGCGGAAUUCCACGUGUAGCGGUGAAAUGCGUAGAGAUGUGGAGGAACACCAGUGGCGAANGCGGCUCUCUGGCCUGUAACUGACGCUGANGCGCGAAAGCGUGGGGAGCGAACAGGAUUAGAUACCCUGGUAGUCCACGCC
rnacentral:rRNA from 1 species